rnacentral:rRNA from 2 species
CCCGAGAUGAGUUCUCCCUGAGACUUAAAGUCUCCUGAAGGAACGUUGAAGACGACGACGUUGAUAGGCCGGGUGUGUAAGCGCAGCGAUGCGUUGAGCUAACCGGUACUAAUGAACCGUGAGGCUUAACCUUACAACGCCGAAG